CGGCUCCGCUGCGGCCUAUGGCUUUUCAUUCCUAUGUGAUUGAUGUUCCAAACUCAUGUAGGGCUAAAAGCCAUGGGCUACAGUGAGGGGC
rnacentral:pre_miRNA from 15 species